CUGGCUCAGGAUGAACGCUGGCGGCGUGCCUAACACAUGCAAGUCGAACGGGGUAUAUAAGCGGAAGUUUACCCAUGGAAGGUUAUAUACUUAGUGGCGGACGGGUGAGUAACGCGUGGGCAACCUGCCCCGUGCCGGGGGAUACCGCCUGGAAACAGGCGCUAAUACCGCAUAAGCGCAUACAGCCGCAUGGGUGUAUGCGGAAAGCUCCGGCGGCACGGGAUGGGCCCGCGCCCGAUUAGCCAGUUGGCGGGGUAACGGCCCACCAAAGCGACGAUCGGUAGCCGGCCUGAGAGGGCGGACGGCCACAUUGGGACUGAGACACGGCCCAAACUCCUACGGAGGCAGCAGUGGGGAAUAUUGCACAAUGGGGGAAACCCUGAUGCAGCAACGCCGCGUGGGUGAAGGAGCGUUUCGGCGCGUAAAGCCCUGUCAGCGGGGAAGAAGAAAGACGGUACCCGACCAAGAAGCCCCGGCUAACUACGUGCCAGCAGCCGCGGUAAUACGUAGGGGGCGAGCGUUAUCCGGAAUUACUGGGUGUAAAGGGAGCGUAGACGGCGAGGUAAGCCGGAAGUGGAAGCCCGCGGCCCAACCGCGGAACUGCUUUGGGAACUGUUUUGCUGGAGUAUGGGAGGGGUAAGCGGAAUUCCUGGUGUAGCGGUGAAAUGCGUAGAUAUCAGGAGGAACACCGGUGGCGAAGGCGGCUUACUGGACCAUAACUGACGUUGAGGCUCGAAAGCGUGGGGAGCGAACAGGAUUAGAUACCCUGGUAGUCCACGCCGUAAACGAUGAUUACCAGGUGUCGGGUGUCGAAGGACGGCCGGUGCCGCAGCGAACGCAGUAAGUAAUCCACCUGGGGAGUACGUUCGCAAGAAUGAAACUCAAAGGAAUUGACGGGGACCCGCACAAGCGGUGGAGCAUGUGGUUUAAUUCGAAGCAACGCGAAGAACCUUACCCGGCCUUGACAUCCCCCUGACAGUAUCUGUAAUGGAUAUUUCCUUCGGGACAGGGGAGACAGGUGGUGCAUGGUUGUCGUCAGCUCGUGUCGUGAGAUGUUGGGUCAAGUCCCGCAACGAGCGCAACCCCUGCCCCCAGUAGCCAGCAUUUAAGAUGGGCACUCUGGGGGGACUGCCGGGGAUAACCCGGAGGAAGGCGGGGAUGACGUCAAAUCAUCAUGCCCCUUAUGGCCGGGGCUACACACGUGCUACAAUGGCGUAAACAGAGGGAGGCGAGACAGCGAUGUUAAGCGAACCCCAAAAAUAACGUCCCAGUUCGGAUUGCAGCCUGCAACUCGGCUGCAUGAAGCUGGAAUCGCUAGUAAUCGCGGAUCAGAAUGCCGCGGUGAAUACGUUCCCGGGUCUUGCACUCACCGCCCGUCA
rnacentral:rRNA from 1 species